AGUCACGUGUUUCCAAUACCAAGUGACUUAAAGAGCGUCCAAUUAGAUGGCGUUGCUAGGGUUCAGUAACCAUAACAAAGUGCAGGCUGUGGCAUUGGUAAAUCAGCCAAAUUUGCUUUUAAAUUGGGACCGGAGUGGGAUCGAGUAAGAUGUCGCGAUUAUUUCUCAGUGGCAAAGCGGUUUAGAAUUAAAUUGAUAUUACUAAAACAUAAAGUCAAAGGAGGAGAAGAAUCGCAAAGCUCAACAGAAGAAAGACAA